ACUUAGUGGCGAACGGGUGAGUAACACGUAGGGAACCUGCCCAUGUACCCGGGAUAACAGAUGGAAACGUCUGCUAAAACCGGAUAGGUAUAGACAAGGCAUCUUGACUAUAUUAAAGGACCUUCGGGUGUGGACAUGGAUGGACCUGCGGCGUAUUAGCCAGUUGGCGGGGUAACGGCCCACCAAAGCGAUGAUACGUAGCCGGCCUGAGAGGGUAGACGGCCACAUUGGGACUGAGGCACGGCCCAAACUCCUACGGAAGGCAGCAG
rnacentral:rRNA from 1 species